rnacentral:rRNA from 1 species
GACAGAGGGGGCAAGCGUUGCUCGGAAUUACUGGGCGUAAAGGGCGCGUAGGCGGGAUGGCGAGUCGGUCGUGAAAUCCCUCGGCUCAACUGAGGAACGUCGAUCGAUACUGCUGUUCUUGAGGAUUGCAGAGGAGACUGGAAUUCCCGGUGUAGCGGUGAAAUGUGUAGAGAUCGGGAGGAACACCGGUGGCGAAGGCGGGUCUCUGGGCAAUUCCUGACGCUGAGGCGCGAAAGCGUGGGGAGCAAACGGG